rnacentral:rRNA from 1 species
UAGUGGCGAACGGGUGAGUAACACGUGAGUAACCUGCCCUUGACUCUGGGAUAAGCCUGGGAAACUGGGUCUAAUACCGGAUAUGACCAUCUGACGCAUGUCAUGGUGGUGGAAAGCUUUUGUGGUUUUGGAUGGACUCGCGGCCUAUCAGCUUGUUGGUGGGGUAAUGGCCUACCAAGGCGACGACGGGUAGCCGGCCUGAGAGGGUGACCGGCCACACUGGGACUGAGACACGGCCCAGACUCCUACGGGAGGCAGCAGUGGGGAAUAUUGCACAAUGGGCGGAAGCCUGAUGCAGCGACGCCGCGUGAGGGAUGACGGCCUUCGGGUUGUAAACCUCUUUCAGUAGGGAAGAAGCGAAAGUGACGGUACCUGCAGAAGAAGCGCCGGCUAACUACGUGCCAGCAGCCGCGGUAAUACGUAGGGCGCAAGCGUUAUCCGGAAUUAUUGGGCGUAAAGAGCUCGUAGGCGGUUUGUCGCGUCUGCUGUGAAAGACCGGGGCUCAACUCCGGUUCUGCAGUGGGUACGGGCAGACUAGAGUGCAGUAGGGGAGACUGGAAUUCCUGGUGUAGCGGUGAAAUGCGCAGAUAUCAGGAGGAACACCGAUGGCGAAGGCAGGUCUCUGGGCUGUAACUGACGCUGAGGAGCGAAAGCAUGGGGAGCGAACAGGAUUAGAUACCCUGGUAGUCCAUGCCGUAAACGUUGGGCACUAGGUGUGGGGGACAUUCCACGUUUUCCGCGCCGUAGCUAACGCAUUAAGUGCCCCGCCUGGGGAGUACGGCCGCAAGGCUAAAACUCAAAGGAAUUGACGGGGGCCCGCACAAGCGGCGGAGCAUGCGGAUUAAUUCGAUGCAACGCGAAGAACCUUACCAAGGCUUGACAUGAACCGGAAAGACCUGGAAACAGGUGCCCCGCUUGCGGUCGGUUUACAGGUGGUGCAUGGUUGUCGUCAGCUCGUGUCGUGAGAUGUUGGGUUAAGUCCCGCAACGAGCGCAACCCUCGUUCUAUGUUGCCAGCGCGUUAUGGCGGGGACUCAUAGGAGACUGCCGGGGUCAACUCGGAGGAAGGUGGGGACGACGUCAAAUCAUCAUGCCCCUUAUGUCUUGGGCUUCACGCAUGCUACAAUGGCCGGUACAAAGGGUUGCGAUACUGUGAGGUGGAGCUAAUCCCAAAAAGCCGGUCUCAGUUCGGAUUGGGGUCUGCAACUCGACCCCAUGAAGUCGGAGUCGCUAGUAAUCGCAGAUCAGCAACGCUGCGGUGAAUACGUUCCCGGGCCUUGUACACACCGCCCGUCAAGUCACGAAAGU